UCUAGUUGCUUCAUACAACAAACAGUUUGGUUUUAUUUUCAGGUGUGUGGACAUGUCAUUGAUUACAGUUAAUUGUCUUGAUUACUGUUUAUAGCUUAAUUAUCAAACCAGUUGUUUCUUGAAUUUGUAUUAUGACAGGGUGCAUGUCGUCUUUGGACUGGUUAUUUCUGGUUUUGAAGUAAUCGAACAAAUUGAAAAUCUGAAGACCGAUGCUGCAAGCAGACCAUAUGCAGAUGUGCGAGUUAUUGACUGUGGAGUACUUGCCACAAAAUCAAUAAAAGAUGUUUUUGAGAAAAAAAGGAAGAAACCAACUCAUUCAGAAGGCUCGGAUUCCUCUUCCAAUUCCUCUUCUUCUUCAGAAUCAUCUUCAGAAAGUGAAAUUGAACAUGAGAGAAGCAGAAGGAGGAAACAUAAGAGGAGGCCAAAAGUUAAACGUUCUAAAAAGAGGCGAAAGGAAGCAAGCAGUUCAGAAGAGCCAAGGAAUAAACAUGUAAUGAACCCAAAAGGGUACGUGUAAAACACCAAUGUACUCUUACCUAAAAACAAACACUCUGGAAUGGGAAAAGUAUGUAUAAUUCUAUAAACUCAAUUUUAUUACCUGUUAUUGAAAAAGGAUAGCAUUUUUUAAACUUUAAAUUGAAAUCUGGCAAAUCUAGGAGUAGGUAGCAUAGGCAUUUCAUUUCAAAGAUUUGUGUGUUUUCAGUUUUCGGGUGAAAAUAGUCCUAAGAACUCUUUUUUUAAGAGAUAGGGUCUUGCUCUGUUAUCCAGGCUGGAAUACAGUGGCACAAUUAUAGCU
rnacentral:sRNA from 1 species